ACGUUACUUUGGUGUAUAAUACAGUGUAACAUUCUGUUCAUUUUUCUGCGCCAUCUGACCAUAACCAGUCAAAAUCAUGAAAAUGCCGUCGAAAGAACAAACAAGAGAAUCAGGUCGACAGAAGGAGAUAGCUCAGAGGAGAGUUCUUGACUCCUUCACCCGAGCCAAGCGAUUGCGACGUCAGCUGGAAGCACUUGAACAGGACAACUUUCAGGAGGACCCACAUGCUAACCUGGUCCUACUAAAGAAGAAACUACCUCAGUUUGAUUCCAAUGAAGAUACUCCUACCACGAAGAAAAGAAAGAAGAGAGGAGAUCAUUUCAAGCAGAGAUUUAGAAAGACGUUUCACAUGCUAGUCGAGGAAGAACAGCUAAGUAUGAAUGAGCCUCCAAACUACUUGACGUGCUGUGUACCGCCCUCGUCCGAACCGCAGAGGAAAUUUUGUGCUGUCUGUGGAUAUCCUUUCGUUAUUAUCAUUUGAAUUAUACUAAUGUAAUAUUGACUGGCUUUGGUGUAGAUACCACAUAUAUUUCCCAAAGCAGUCUCAUAUUGCCUGAGUCUUGAUGAGGACAAUAAAAGUCUACUGAGGGAAUUGUAGGUGUGGUUUCUCCUGAAAAUUAGUGCCAGUCAAUAUUAUUAUUAUUACCUACAGUUGUAUAAUCUGUAAUUCAAGCUAUUAUUUGUAGCAAUUUGUAUGCCUUUUUGUCUGUUGGUAGUUCUUAUUUCAGGUUAUUAUUUUUGUUCCCUGAAUGUUAGAUUCAAGAUUAAAUCAAACAAAAGUUCAGAAUACGGACCAAAGUGAUUUUUUUUUUUCAGACCAGGUUCCAAAAUCUAUUAUUUACCUCUUCAGGUAAGAAUUGAAAGGGAUGUCAAAUUUGCUUCUUUUGUUCCAAACAGAAUCAAUAUAGGAAUGUUAUUAGAUGUAUUAGUUUCAAAUACAGGUACCUUCCACAUAAAGUAGAAGAAAUUACACCCAAUUAUGCAAAACAUGAUACCUCUUUUAAGUCCAAUUUCUCCCCAGUCGAAUAAAUUUCUAUGGUCCCCCUAGAAUUGACUUGGCCAUUAACUGUAUUUUUAAUUAUGCAAUUUGUUGUACCAUUUUCAUGCAUUUUUAAUGUAUUUUUCCUUAACUUCUCACACAUUCCCCUCUAACUAUACUUGUGUUGCUUGUGGAGCUCGAUACUGCUGUGUGAAAUGUCUAGGAACUCAUCUAGAUACAAGGUGUCUAAAGUGGACAGCAUGAUGUGAGCAUAGAGAACAUACAGCGAUAGCGAUCUUACAGAGCUCGACUGCAAGGAUCAUGUCUGCCCUGAGAUACUAGGAUCGUGUCUUGCAUGCAACGAGAUAAGAGCAGGGCUGGCUGUGUGCAUGUAUAAUAAAGUUUUUACAGACGUGUAUCAAUCCGGUAUGAUGAAAUAUGUAUGGGGCUGACCUGUAACGUCGCUGUCUGAAUGACGUAACCAGAACUUGAAGCAUGAAUCUUUGCAUCAUUUUGUAACUUCUUCUAUAAAGUUUGGAUUACAGGCACACAUACAAUGCCCAGUUGGCCUCUGUCAAAGAACUCAUUUGCAACAGCAAGAUACAGGCUACCGUUACACCAAUAGGAAUCUUACAGAGGUUGACUGUAAGGAUCAUAUCUUCCUCUCGAUACGUGAACAAGGUGUAUUUCAUUAGAACUUGGUAUUAACAGCAAGAUUUAUAAUAACUUUUAUCAAUUUCUGAAAUGUGUUUAGUAAAUUUAUCACAGAAACUAUUAUAGCACAAUAGGUGACUACCGUCACCAGCGCUGGCUUGUUCUGUCGGCUCUGGUCGAUACUCCAAAUUAGCAACAGAAAUAGUUCCUUGACGAUUCUGCAGGAGUCAAAUUGUAUUUGAUUAAUGCUAUCUAAUCCUGGUGCAGAUUACGCAAGGGCGGUGAACUGAUAAUCAUGUAUGCAAAGAACAGAAAUAUUGUGGCCCCUUACAAUAUGGUACACAAAAUACUUGUAAUGGAGUGCCAUCUUUCUACAUGUAGGUAGCUAGAAGUUUAUUUAAAAAAAUUUGAAACGAGCUUUUCAUUUUAGAUGCUUAUCCUCCAAUGAUUUGAAAUUGAUUUUGAUCCCAGUUGAGCUGUAUUCAUCUGCUUGUGCUUAGGUCAUAUAUGUCCAAUAUUUAUUCCCUUCAAUUUAGAGCUCAAUUUGAGAUGACCUAGAUGAUGUUUGGGAAUUCUGGGGAGCGUAACACAAAGAUUAGCGAUCAAUCGCUAAAUGAACUGACCAAUCAAGAUCAUUGUUACACGUGCAUUUGGCUCAAAAUACUGACCAGUAACCAAUCAGAAGCGUUCUUUCAUAUUUGCUAUUCAUCGCAGAGCUUUGUGUUACGGGGACUGGUUGAUGUUUCAGUUCCAAGUCUCCUUUUCCAACUACUUAUGGGGCAUUUGGAGAUACUUUUGAUCAAUUGCAAAUCUAUUUGUGGGGUCCCAAAUCAAUCAUAUGUCUUGCAAUUGAUUACAAAAUUGAUUUCUGGGGCCAAUCUUACAAAGAGUUACGAUUGAUCCAAUCAACCUCAACUGUUUGGAAAUCCACCGAUGUCAUAAUUUUGUCUACAGUUAGUUUGCACAAUGAAAUUCUAAGAAUUCUUUGUAAGACGGGGCCCAGAUCUGCCUCUUCCAACAAGAAAGGUAAACUUGAAGUUAUUUUCUAGUUGAAAUUGAUUCAUCAAUUGUAAAACAAAAUUUAUAGUUCAUUGCAAAUAUUUCUAGCAACACCCCCUAUUAAAGCCUCUGUGUCUUAUUGUGUAUUAGAUAUGGAAAUGUUAUGGUACAUGUGUUUCAUCUUGUUCAGAGAUUAUAUUUUUUAAAUAAAAUCAGUAAAAUCA